ACACGUGGGUAACCUGCCUUAUAGUGGGGGAUAGCCUUUCGAAAGGAAGAUUAAUACCGCAUAAGAUUGUAGUAUCGCAUGAUAUAGCAAUUAAAGGAGCAAUUCGCUAUAAGAUGGACCCGCGUCGCAUUAGCUAGUUGGUGAGGUAAUGGCUCACCAAGGCGACGAUGCGUAGCCGACCUGAGAGGGUGAUCGGCCACAUUGGGACUGAGACACGGCCCAGACUCCUACGGAGGCAGCAUG
rnacentral:rRNA from 1 species